rnacentral:rRNA from 1 species
UACGUAGGUGGCGAGCGUUGUCCGGAUUUACUGGGCGUAAAGCGCACGCAGGUGGCUUGACAAGUCCAGGGUGAAAUCUCCCGGCUCAACCGGGAUAGGUCUCUGGAUACUGGCGAGCUUGAGGGCAACAGAGGAGAGCAGAAUUCCCGGUGUAGCGGUGAUAUGCGUAGAUAUCGGGAGGAAUACCAGUGGCGAAGGCGGCUCUCUGGGUUGUCCCUGACGCUGAGGUGCGAAAGCGUGGGGAGCGAACCGG